ensembl:misc_RNA Metazoa_SRP Metazoan signal recognition particle RNA
GCUGGGCAUGGUGGUGCAUGCCUGUAGUCCCAGCUACUUGGGAGGCUGAGGCAGGGCAAUCGCUUGAACCCAGGAGGCGGAGGUUGCAGUGAGCCCGGAUCGUGCCACUGCACUCCAGCCUGGGUGACAGAGCGAGACCAAGUCUCAA